ACGCUGGCGGCGUGCCUAAUACAUGCAAGUAGAACGCUGAAGAGAGGAGCUUGCUCUUCUUGGAUGAGUUGCGAACGGGUGAGUAACGCGUAGGUAACCUGCCUUGUAGCGGGGGAUAACUAUUGGAAACGAUAGCUAAUACCGCAUAACAAUGGAUGACACAUGUCAUUUAUUUGAAAGGGGCAAUUGCUCCACUACAAGAUGGGCCUGCGUUGUAUUAGCUAGUAGGUGAGGUAACGGCUCACCUAGGCGACGAUACAUAGCCGACCUGAGAGGGUGAUCGGCCACACUGGGACUGAGACACGGCCCAGACUCCUACGGGAGGCAGCAGUAGGGAAUCUUCGGCAAUGGGGGCAACCCUGACCGAGCAACGCCGCGUGAGUGAAGAAGGUUUUCGGAUCGUAAAGCUCUGUUGUAAGUCAAGAACGAGUGUGAGAGUGGAAAGUUCACACUGUGACGGUAGCUUACCAGAAAGGGACGGCUAACUACGUGCCAGCAGCCGCGGUAAUACGUAGGUCCCGAGCGUUGUCCGGAUUUAUUGGGCGUAAAGCGAGCGCAGGCGGUUUGAUAAGUCUGAAGUUAAAGGCUGUGGCUCAACCAUAGUUCGCUUUGGAAACUGUCAAACUUGAGUGCAGAAGGGGAGAGUGGGAUUCCAUGUGUAGCGGUGAAAUGCGUAGAUAUAUGGAGGAACACCGGUGGCGAAAGCGGCUCUCUGGUCUGUAACUGACGCUGAGGCUCGAAAGCGUGGGGAGCGAACAGGAUUAGAUACCCUGGUAGUCCACGCCGUAAACGAUGAGUGCUAGGUGUUGGAUCCUUUCCGGGAUUCAGUGCCGCAGCUAACGCAUUAAGCACUCCGCCUGGGGAGUACGACCGCAAGGUUGAAACUCAAAGGAAUUGACGGGGGCCCGCACAAGCGGUGGAGCAU
rnacentral:rRNA from 1 species